rnacentral:lncRNA from 1 species
UGUCCUAUAACGUUGUUGCUGGAGAAUUUAUUGGUCGCUUGCUCUAGCUCUCCGUAUGAGAACUGGAAGAUCAUCCCGUGGAUUGUUUCCGGUUUACUCACACAAAACAAAGAAGCAUUCUGAAAGAAACAUCCCGAGAGUGAGGAGGUGAUGCUGAUCUUGGGUUGUGAGAUGGAGCUUUUACGGGCUAUUAAGUUGGAAGAGCUGUGCCAGCUAGAUUCUCUGUCUGAAGAGACUGAAGGGCUUUGUCCAGAAACAUUGCUGGUCCUUCGAUAAAUGUAGUAAAACAUGGAGGCAAGGAAGGCUACUGAAGUAACUGCGACGCAGAAGAUUAGUGUGACGAGAAGGAGUUUCCUUGAUAAAGAUUGCUUCUUCAAAGGUCCUGGAAACCAUAAAAGAGAUAUAGCUAUGAUAUAGUGACUGAGCUUUCCCUAGAACAUAGAGUAAGGUACCUACCAGCAGAGCAGUUGCAAGCAGUGAAGCAUGAAGAGUUGGAACCGGUACCGGAUAUUAUUGGAAAUCCAUUUGCCGGACACAAGCAUACCCAUUGGUCUCUCUCCGCUAGGUAAGAUCAAGAACUUAGUUUUCUCUAGAAUCUUGAACAGUUACUUGAUGUUGAAGAGUUAGGAACUAAAAUCAGAAAGCCAACCUGGUCUGCAGUUGCAUGAUGUGGAACAGUUAGAUUCCAAGAUAUCAGUUUUGUUGCCUGAAGAGAAGCACGUGCACGUCCAGUUGCUAGCACCUACAAACAGAAACUUGAUCUAUUUAGUUGCAAGUCACACCGGUUUCACUUAUUGGAAAUAAUAUAAAGUAAGACACUAAACCUCCAUAACAUAGCUGAAUGGAUAUGAGGACUGAGAGAAUCACAAGUGCGGUUUCCACUUUCAUCUUCAUUUAUAUUUGCUGCAGCAGAAAGAAAUAGUUUAAUAUCUGAGAGUAGUUGAUAGAAGGGCUCUAAUAUGAAGAUUAGAUGAAAACCUUCAUGUCAGUUUUAAUCUUCUACUCAAAGCAAACUCAACCUGAAACAAAAUACGUUGUAUUAAGAACCAGAUUACAAGGAGAGCUGAAAAUUUAUAGAAAUUUAAGAGUAAAUCAACAGUGGGGUGUGAAUAAAAAUGGGUUGGUGAACAGACAUCCAAAAGAUUCUAACUCUGUUGCACCUACUGAGAAACAAAGUUCCAAGAUAAUCAACAUAAACAAAAACAUUCUAUGACCUGGUCAAAAACAACAAUAAAGAGACUCCGGUUCUUUAACUGGCCAGAGCUUAGAAGAUGAUACAAGUAACCCCAAAAUCACUAAAAGUAGUCACAUCAACAUUUAAGACUCAUUGCCACUAAUCUAAAUUCUGCAAAUUUUCUACAUCCCUCUAUAGUUAAGUUGGUUAGAUAAAAGACACAACAACAGGAGAACCGACACUAAUUGGCCGACUAGUUCUAACAACAGAGCAAACCAUAACAAGACAAGAGAGCCAAUAUAGUGGAUUAGAUACAUUACCCUACAAAAGUGGUGAAGUUGGAGAAAGAACAAGCUUCUUUUAGUGAAGUUGUAGUAUCAAGAAAAGGAAGUUGCAGACAAAAGGAUAUAUACACAAAAAGAAAGAAAGCAAUGAAGCAUCAUGAGGGAUAUGGAUUAGUAAAAUAUAGUAUACUACAAUAAUGGUGAUUAUUGAAAUGAUUGAUUAGUAGAAACAGUCAAAUAAUGGGAAACACAGAGUAGGAAUAAUUAAAUGGGAAUGAAAAUGGACCAACCACCUUUAGGAAAGAAACGGAAUUGCAAAUCUGAGUGUGACCCUUCAACCAAUUAUAGUAUCAAAGUUGAAGAAUCAUUCAAAUACUUUUCUAAAAACCAUUUUUACAUCAAAAAAACAGCUUUUUUUAUAACUUUAUAAACUGUUUAAUAAUGGCAAAAUCUUCAUAUUAUAAUCAAACAAACAUUCAAAAAUGCUAGAUUGUGAAUCCAGCAAGAAGAGUUAAGAAGCAUUUCGAAGUUAAGAAUCAGACAAGAAGUAAAGAACCAAACACUAAAACAUAAAAUCAAAUCCGUAAACCGAGAUUAGAUUAAAAUUAGAUUAGAUAUAUCCAAAAAGAGAUGGAAGAAGAGGAAAGAAAGGGCAUUGCUUUUAAGGAAAAGCAAAAAAAACGUAGGUCGAAGCAAAAUGUGUCGGCUAUCGGUAACCAGUCCUUAAACCGGUUUAGGUUGUGGGACCCGGUUCCGCCAUUGACCGUAUCCAAAGGCUCUUUCUUUUUAAUGGGAAAGUGAAUUUUAUCGGAACAAAAAAAAAAGUUAAGCUUUUGGAGAAAAUCAACAGAGACCCCAUUUUAUGAUUUUGAAGAAAAUGAAAAACACAAAUCAAAAAGAAAUAAGACUAACAAUAACCUUUGCAAUGAAGGAAGUCGUUGACGUGAGUGAGAGAUUAUCUUUGGCGUAGCCCCCAAAAACGAAGAAGAUUCAAAAGCUGGUGCUACUAACUACACCAGUAAGCUCAAAAUCACGUUUGCUUCUGAGCUUUCCAGUGUAAAAGAUAAGCGAGUGAAUGAGAGAAACUGCAAUCUUUUCCCGUUGGUCAGAUAUCCAAAAAAAAAAAAAAAAAGAGAAUUAGAAAGCCAAACGCGAAUAUAAAAACAAAGGUGUCCACGUAAUAGCGUUUGCGUUUGCGUUUGCGUGAUCAACCGCUCUGUAAACCGUCGCUGCUCAAACACUUAGCCAUCCCAAGAUCUGUUAUCUGUAAACAAUGUUUAUUCAAGUUCACAUUUGGUCUCACCGAAGCAAAUAAAGCUUUGCUCUUCACUUACUUUAGCAUGCCAAUUCUCAUCGAGGAGGAUGUUAGUGGAUUUAACAUCUCUGUGCAAGAUUCUUGGAGCAGCAGCUUCGUGGAGAUACUCGAGCCCUCUUGCAGCUCCAAGAGCGAGAGAGAUUCUGAUGUUCCACGUCAUCUUCUCUCCCAGCUCUCCAUCCAAGCAGUCUCUCAGAUUCCCGUAAGACAUGUACUCAAAAACCAGAAGCCUCUCCGCAUGCUUGCCGUGAAACUCCGAACAGUAUCCAAUCAAUGGAACCACAUGGUAAUGAUGGAGUCUUGAUAACAACUCAACCUGCAAAGACAUUUCAUAAUCUUGAUCAAAUAGGAAUCCAUCCAACCAAGAAGCAGGGGGAGAGGAGGUUAGUAGUACUUCUGUUGAGAAUAGAGUGUCGUUGUCGUUUCCUUUAGGAGCAUUUAAGCGUUUGAUCGCAGCGGUUUUACCGUCUUUGAGCUGUCCACGGUAAACGCAGCUACUUCCUCCGUGUCCUAUAACGUUGUUGCUGGAGAAUUUAUUGGUCGCUUGCUCUAGCUCUCCGUAUGAGAACUGGAAGAUCAUCCCGUGGAUUGUUUCCGGUUUACUCACACAAAACAAAGAAGCAUUCUGAAAGAAACAUCCCGAGAGUGAGGAGGUGAUGCUGAUCUUGGGUUGUGAGAUGGAGCUUUUACGGGCUAUUAAGUUGGAAGAGCUGUGCCAGCUAGAUUCUCUGUCUGAAGAGACUGAAGGGCUUUGUCCAGAAACAUUGCUGGUCCUUCGAUAAAUGUAGU